CCUCUGCUAGAUAGCCUGCUGUCUAGUAUAUGCCGUAUACGGCGAAACUGCGAAUGGCUCAUUAAAUCAGUUAUGGUUCCUUGGAUCGUACUUUACUACUUGGAUAACUGUGGCAAUUCUAGAGCUAAUACAUGCUACAAACCUCCAAUCUUCAAGGACUAUCUCUUUUAUAAAACACAAAACCUGUCCUACCUCGCGCCCUGCCUACUCGUAUGACUCUGUAUAACUCUUGAGUGCUGAUCGCACCGGCCCUUCCCCGUUCACAAUAUUCUUGUCCCGUGUCUGCCUUAUCGGCUUUCUAUGGUACGAUACUCGCCUACCAUGGUCAUAACGAGUUACGGGUCAUCUCGGUACAAUUCCCCAGAGAAACCCUGACAAACUCCUACCACAUCCAAAGAAGGCCACAUUGCCGCAUAUUACCCACUCCCGGAACUGACAGUUAGUGCCGAAACAAUGACUCUUCUGGACUCUGUUGAUACCCCGAAAUUGAAUUGAGUCCCCUCUCAAUCCUUUAUUGAAGAUCUAUUCUAGGGCCAGUCUGGUGCCAAACUCCGCCUCCAUUACCGCUCUAAUAGCGUAUAUUAGAUUUGAUGCUCGUAAUUGACUCUUAGUUCUAUCUGAGUUCUACACCUCAGCUCCUGCACAUGGUCGGUACUGCCUGUUCUUAUGACCAGCCCGUGUCCUCGAUGAUCUUCAUCGGUUAUCUCGACUGACCGUUAGAUUACUUUGAAAGACUAGAGUGCUCUUUGCUCGAUGACUUCUGCAUAAUGUGCAAGGAAGAGGGAAGAGCACUUCUGUCUUUCUGUUGGCUCUCCGAUCACUAGUAAUGAUUACGAGGGCACACUGUGCAUCGCAUAGCGCACUACUGUGAUAUCUUGGACUACUCAGAGACAUUUUUCUAGAUUUUUCCCAGAAA
rnacentral:rRNA from 1 species